CAAAGGGCUCACCUGCUGCAAUUCUGGUUUAGUUUUAUAGGCUGUUGCUACUUUUGACUUGAUUAUCGUUUAAUUGGAGAUACUCAACAUAAGUUUGUUACCAAACUUGGGACACACAAAGAUUGGAACACGAAUUCAAACACAUAGGAAGCAAGAGGGAAAUCAAUGCUGCUUUCCCAAACUUGAUGUUACUGCAUCCUUGCUGAAACAUUUGGAAAUCUGCUGGCCUUGUUUACAGCCUCUCCAGGGUUAAGGGCCACAAGAUGUCAGUGUAGCACCAAACAUGAAGGAAUGGCAGGCGGGUUUGUGCAGCCCCUCAGAUUGUCCAGCUGGAGGUAUAGUAUGAGUCCAAUACUGAGCAACAAAGCUGUUUGUUAAAGUAAUCUCCGCACCCUGGAAUUGUACUUUUCCAGGAGUGACUGUGGCUGGGUGCAGAAGGAACACUUGCUGUUUGCCUGUAUGUAUCUGUACCCCCAAGUGGGACAACUGAGGAACUCAGAAACAAUGGCACUGGGACGGUGCUGGGAUGUCUGAGCCUGAUUCCUUACGUCCAUUCCCUCACUCACUCAGAGGUCUCUCAUUAUUGUGGUUUUUGAAACUGCUUGGGAAAUCCGAACUGAGAGGAACAGAACCUACAGCGUUUCUCUUAAGCAAAGUUUGA
rnacentral:lncRNA from 1 species